CAUUGCCAGCCACAGCCAUAGCUCAGUCGCAGAUCAGAGCAGGCGAUGUUGUCAUCUUGGCAACACCAUGUGUUGUUAUACCAGCGAAGCGUAUUACAUGUCGCUUUAUCAUCCCUCCAGGAUGGACGAUAGCAAAACUAAUCCAUGGUGACAGGCAUCUGCGACCUCCCGGCGGACUGCCUGGCGCUGGUCGCGUCCCUGACCUCCCCCGGGGACGCGUGCAGGCUGGCGGCCACCGCCAUCGCGCUCCGGGCGGCUGCCGACUCCGACCAGGUCUGGGGGAGCUUCCUCCCGGCGGACUGCACCGACAUCCUCGCGCGGUGUAGUGCUGCCGGUGAUGAGCGCCGCCGGGAAGGAGAAACGAAUAAGGAGCUCUUCUCCCGACUCUGCGACUGCCCCGUCUUUCUCGACGGCGGCAAGCUGGUAAUUUAUUUUGUUGCACAACUUUUACCGUUCGAAAGUGUAUGUGCGCAUCAAAAUAUAUCUCUUCUGACAUUGGCAUCGACCGGCCGGGCAAGAAGAGCUUCUCGCUGGAGAGGCAUAGCGGCGCCAAGAAGUACAUGAUAGCUCUGUGGCACGGGUUUGGUGGCUACCAGUACUACGGAUUGGAGGACUCGUCCAGUCACACUUUCACCUUCACUCCAGUGUGCAGCUGCGCUCUAGGGAGGUGAGCAUUCCAUCGUCCGACGUUGCGGCGCCCUUCUAGCGAGGGCGACGAGCAGGGGCCACCUUUCGGUGAUGGAACUGGAUGGCGCUGGUGCGCCAGACGUGCAAGCGAUGGCGAUGACAUAGCUUCCAAAGACGGCUGGCAUCCCUUGCGAGGUGGCCUCCUUCGCGGUGUUGGUCCUUCAAUGAUGUUUGAGGGCUGCAGUGUCUAGUUGUCUUUGCUUUUUGGACAUUGUUGCUGCUCCUGAGCUCCAUUAUAUAAUGCUAGAGUUUUCUCUUUGUUUUUCUUGUGUCUUUCAGUGUUGUGUUGAAUUGUAUCGUUGCUUGUAAGGGCUUCAUUUUUUAAAGCCGGGCGCCAUCCUCUUUUCUAGACAUUGAGCCUUACUAUUUCGUCCUGUAGAUUCCGCGAGGUGGCGGCUCACUCAUAGAUGUUGUGGGUGACGUGGACGUCAUCAUGAACACCAAGAACCUCUCAGCUUCGAUAGAGGCUAUGUAGCCUAUCUUGUAUAUAGGGUGCAUUGGUGGUAUACAUUUGUACAGACACAUCUCAGAACCAAAACCAAAAAGCUGUAGGGGUCCUGCUUCGCUGCCAUUUGCAACAUGAUUGCAACCAUCUCAUGCCUCAUAAGCACUUGUGAUCUCUGUUAUGUGACUGGGUUGGGAACUUGAUGGAUGAUAAUGAUCAUCUAUGUUCGUGGACACAUUGGAGAAGAAUCAAAGUUUGAAGCAGCAGCUGAAACCUGAUGGGGCGAGCGUGAGGAGCGAUGGAUGAUGGAUAGAGCAAGAUAUUAACAUAGAGCUGGACGAGAAUUGUCUGGAGAGGAAGGAGAAAAAAUGUUGUGUUUAGAGGGUUCAGAAGGCCAUGUAGGUAUGCCAGAUUAACAUAGAAGAGAUCGAGAUUUUCUUUUCAAAAAAGGGAAUAUAUUAAUAUCGCGAAGAUACCGAUUACACCCAGCAAAGGAUCGAGAUAAGGCCGAGAGGAAUGGAAAGUUGAAACCAUGUCUAAAUGUAUUAUUUAGAUACAAAUUCACCGUAUGGUUAGGUCUGUUU
rnacentral:rRNA from 1 species